CCUACGGGCGGCAGCAGUGGGGAAUAUUGCGCAAUGAGCGAAAGCCUGACGCAGCGACGCAGCGUGCGGGAUGAAGGUCUUCGGAUCGUAAACCUCUGUCAGCAGGGAAGAACGGUCACUAUGCUAAUCAGCAGUAAAUUGACGGUACCUGCAAAGGCAGCACCGGCUAACUCCGUGCCAGCAGCCGCGGUAAUACGGAGGGUGCGAGCGUUAACCGGAAUUACUGGGCGUAAAGCGCUCGUAGGCGUUAUGUCAAGUCAAGGGUGAAAUCCCCGCGCUCAACGUGGGAACUGCCUUUGAAACGAGCAAACUGGAGUGUGUGAGAGGAUAGUGGAAUUCCAGGUGUAGGGGUGAAAUCCGUAGAUAUCUGGAGGAACAUCAGUGGCGAAGGCGACUAUCUGGCACAUAACUGACGCUGAGGAGCGAAAGCGUGGGUAGCAAACAGGAUUAGAUACCCGGGUAGUC
rnacentral:rRNA from 1 species